rnacentral:tRNA from 1 species
GCGGACGUGGCGGAAUGGUAGACGCCGGGGACUUAAAAUCCCCUGAUCUGUGAUCGUGUGGGUUCGAGUCCCACCGUCCGCACCA